rnacentral:rRNA from 1 species
CCUACGGGUGGCAGCAGUAGGGAAUCUUUCACAAUGGGCGAAAGCCUGAUGGAGCAACGCCGCGUGCAGGAUGGAGGCCUUCGGGUUGUAAACUGCUUUUAUAAGCGAGAAAUAUGAUGGUAACUUAUGAAUAAGGAUAGGCUAAAUACGUGCCAGCAGCCGCGGUCAUACGUAGGAUCCGAGCAUUAUCCGGAGUGACUUGGUGUAAAGGGUUGCGUAGGUGGCAUAAUAAGUAGCUAGGGAAAUCUGGCGGCUCAACCAUUCAGACUAUUAGCUAAACUGUUAAGCUCGAGACCGUGAGGGGUAACUGGAAUUUCCAGUGUAGGAGUGAAAUCCGUAGAUAUUAGAAAGAACACCGAUAGCGUAGGCAGGUUACUGGGACGGUUCUGACACUAAGGCACGAAAGCGUAGGGAGCAAACGGGAUUAGAUACCCGUGUAGUC